ncrna:unclassified sequences GP20-b RNA
GGACAAUCUGCAGUCCUAACAAGGCAGAGACGACUGGUGAUAGAGAACACCUAAAAAGCUUA